GCCCGCGUGGCGGAACGGCAGACGCCGGCGACUUAAAAUCGCCUGCCUUCGGGCGUGCGGGUUCGAAUCCCGCCGCGGGCA
rnacentral:tRNA from 1 species